CCUACGGGAGGCAGCAGUAGGGAAUUUUCGUCAAUGGGCGCAAGCCUGAACGAGCAAUGCCGCGUGAACGAGGAAGGUCUUCGGAUCGUAAAGUUCUGUUGAAGGGGAAAAAGAGCGGAGAGAGGAAAUGCUUUCUGAUUGAUAUUACCCUUCGAGGAAGUCACGGCUAACUACGUGCCAGCAGCCGCGGUAAUACGUAGGUGGCGAGCGUUAGCCGGAUUGAUGGGGCGUAAAGGGUGCGUAGGCGGCCUGCAAAGUCUGGAGUGAAAGGUACCGGCUCAACCGGUACAGGCUCUGGAAACUGGCGGGCUGGAGAGCAGGAGAGGGCGGUGGAACUCCAGGUGUAGCGGUAAAAUGCGUAGAUAUAUGGAAGAACACCAGUGGCGAAGGCGGCCGCCUGGCCUGUUACUGACGCUGAGGCACGAAAGCGUGGGGAGCAAAUAGGAUUAGAUACCCGAGUAGUC
rnacentral:rRNA from 1 species